GACGAACGCUUGCGGCGUGCCUAAGAAAUGCAAGUCGAGNGGGGAGCAAUCCCAGCGGCGAACGGUCGCGUAACACGUAAGCAACCUGCCCGAAAGACCGGGAUAACGUUUCGAAAGAGGCGCUAAUACCGGAUGUGACCACUUUGAGACAUCUCUUUGUGAUUAAAUCAUUUAUGGCUUUCGGAGGGGCUUGCGGCCUAUCAGCUAGAUGGCGGGGUAACGGCUCACCAUGGCGUCGACGGGUAGCUGGUCUGAGAGGAUGGUCAGCCGGACUGGGACUGAGAUACGGCCCAGACUCCUACGGGGGGCAGCAAUUAGGAAUCUUGCGCAAUGGGCGAAAGCCUGACGCAGCGACGCCGCGUGGAGGAGGAAGGCCUUCGGGUUGUAAACUCCUUUUAGGUGGGAAGAACACAAUGACGGUACCACCUGAAUAAGCCCCGGCUAACUCCGUGCCAGCAGCCGCGGUAAUACAGAGACUGCGAGCGUUAUUCGGAUUCACUGGGCGUAAAGGGUGCGCAGGCGGCCAAAUGUGUUAGGCGUGAAAGCCCGAGGCUUAACCUCGGAAUUGCACCUAAAACUAUUUGGCUAGAGUACUGGAGAGGGAAACGGAAUUCAUGGUGUAGCAGUGAAAUGCGUUGAUAUCAUGAGGAACACCAGAGGCGAAGGCGGUUUCCUGGACAGUUACUGACGCUCAGGCACGAAAGCGUGGGGAGCAAAAGGGAUUAGAUACCCCUGUAGUCCACGCCCUAAACGGUGCACACUAGGUCUUGGCGGAUUCGACCCCACCAGGGCCCAAGCUAACGCGUUAAGUGUGCCGCCUGAGGACUACGGCCGCAAGGCUA
rnacentral:rRNA from 1 species